rnacentral:rRNA from 1 species
GUGUCAGCCGCCGCGGUAAUACGUAGGGGGCGAACGUUGCUCGGAAUUAUUGGGCGUAAAGAGUAUGUAGGUGGCUGAACAAGUCCAGGAUGAAAUCCCGAGGCUCAACUUCGGAAUGGUCCUUGAAACUAUUCAGCUUGAGGGUAGUUGAGGAGAAUGGAAUUCCCGGUGGAGCGGUGAAAUGCGUAGAUAUCGGGAGGAACACCAGAGGCGAAGGCGAUUCUCUAAGCUAUUCCUGACACUGAGAUACGAAAGCUAGGGGAGCAAACGGGAUUAGAUACCCCGGUAGUCCUAGCCGUAAACGAUGGACACUAGAUGUUCCCGCAUUUUUGCGGGUGUGUCGAAGCUAACGCGUUAAGUGUCCCGCCUGGGGAGUACGGUCGCAAGGCUGAAACUCAAAUGAAUUGACGGGG